rnacentral:rRNA from 1 species
AGUGGCGUACGGGUGAGUAAAACGGGACUAACCUACCCUCGAGUGGGGAAUAACCUCGGGAAACCGGGGCUAAUACCGCAUAACAUCUACGGAUCAAAUGCGUAAGCAGCUUGAGGAGGGGGUCGCGGCUGAUUAGCUAGUUGGCGGGGUAAUGGCCCACCAAGGCAGUGAUCAGUAGCCGGCCUGAGAGGGCGCACGGCCACACUGGAACUGAAACACGGUCCAGACUCCUACGGGAGGCAGCAGUGGGGAAUUUUGCGCAAUGGGGGAAACCCUGACGCAGCAACGCCGCGUGGAGGAUGAAGCCCCUUGGGGUGUAAACUCCUUUCGAUCGGGACGAUUAUGACGGUACCGGAUGAAGAAGCACCGGCUAACUCUGUGCCAGCAGCCGCGGUAAUACAGAGGGUGCGAGCGUUGUUCGGAAUUAUUGGGCGUAAAGGGUGCGUAGGCGGUGCGGUAAGUCUUCUGUGAAACCUCCGGGCUUAACUCGGAGCCUGCAGAGGA